CCCCCGCGUCUCCGAGAGAAGAUUCUGGCUGUGUCCGCCGCUGCGAUGGCGAUCGCCGCCGAGGGCCGAUCCCUCGCCUCCUCCUCCUCCUCUUCCCGCUCUCACCUCACCGUCUUUCUCUCCAGGCACUCCUUUCCUCAUCCUCCUACCCUGCCGUCUUCCGCCUCUCCCAUUUCGCCGGCUUUGGGGCUGCGGGUGGCGGCAUCAGCGAGCGGACGCCGACGGAGAUGGGGCCGCUGUUACCUGGGUGCGACUACGAGCACUGGCUUAUCGUCACGGACAAGCCUGGGGACGAGGGGGCCACCAGGCAGCACAUAAUCGACUGCUAGAUCCAAACCGUAUAGUUUGUUGAUGGUUUGAAGUUGCAGUUUUUAUAUGUGUUGUUGAUCUUGGCAAAGUGGAACAGCUUUAUAAGCUGAGUUGUUUGUGAAUGGGGAGGUUGUUCAAAGAUCUCCAGAAAGACAGGAGAGUUGACCCUGUGCCUCAGAGAGCUCAAGAUAGGCCCAGGUACAAUGACACAACCUGGCAUGUGAAGUGGGAGAACCAGCAGUGAGAGGUCAAAGGCUGAAGGUUUCGCUGCAUAUGAUCCAGGUUAAGAAGCUCAUAAACUUUUAGUUCUGAGUGAUAAAAGUGGGUGAAAUGGUUCACAAUAGAUAUAGAAGAUAAAUAUCCUGCCCUACUCUGUCGACCAAUAUAUAAAGCCAGAUAGCUGUGUUUUAUGCAUCUGAGUUGCAUCUGCGUCCACACAAUUUUUUGAUGGUGGAUGGUGGGGCUUUGUAACUUGUUCAUUGUGCAAUUAGCUGAAACUUUCUAAUGAUGACUCAUUUUUUAGCUUGUCAUCUGUGAGCUCAUGCAUAUGUAUUUGGCAAGUGAUGAUAAAGUGUUCAAUAGCUGCAACAGACUAUGCACACAAAAGUGAACUAAAUUAGUAAUUUGAGUAUGCUAGUGUUUGAUUUCUUG